UUGUUGCAGUUAAAAAGCUCGUAGUUGGACUUUAGGCAAGGCGGCCUGGUCACCCUCUGGGUGUACUGGGAUCGCUGCGCCUCACCUUCGGGGAGCUAGUCGUGCUUCGGUGCGCUAGGGAACCGAGCCUUACCUUGAGGAAAUUAGAGUGUUUAAAGCAGGCUUAUGCUUGAAUACGUUAGCAUGGAAUAACAUGAUAGGACUUUGGUUCUAUUUUGUUGGUUUGAGGACCAAAGUAAUGAUUAAUAGGGACAGUUGGGGGCAUUAGUAUUCAAUAGUCAGAGGUGAAAUUCUUGGAUUUAUUGAAGACUAACUAAUGCGAAAGCAUUUGCCAAGGAUGUUUUCAUUAAUCAAGAACGAAAGUUAGGGGAUCGAAGACGAUUAGAUACCGUCGUAGUCUUAACCAUAAACUAUGCCGACUAGGGAUCGGUGGAAGUCGAUUUUGACUCCAUCGGCACCUUACGAGAAAUCAAAGUUUUUGGGUUCUGGGGGGAGUAUGGUCGCAAGGCUGAAACUUAAAGGAAUUGACGGAAGGGCACCACCAGGAGUGGAGCCUGCGGCUUAAUUUGACUCAACACGGGAAAACUCACCAGGUCCGGACAUGGGAAGGAUUGACA
rnacentral:rRNA from 1 species